GUCGAUCGCAACGACGUUAUCAGAUGUAACUGCUGUAUGAGAGCAUUGCUGAGCGGCGGCCUUGAGCUAGCCAUCGGGGCACGCUCACAUGCACUAGCA